AUUGAACGCUGGCGGCAGGCCUAACACAUGCAAGUCGAACGAGUGGCGGACGGGUGAGUAAUGUCUGUGCAACUGCCUGGUGGAGGGGGAUAACUACUGGAAACGGUAGCCAAUACCGCAUACCAUCGGAUGUGCCCAUGUGGGAUUAGCUAGUAGGUGGGGUAAACGCUCGCCUAGGCGACGAUCCCUAGCUGGUCUGAGAGGAUGACCAGCCACACUGGAACUGAGACACGGUCCAGACUCCUACGGGAGGCAGCAGUGGGGAAUAUUGGACAAUGGGCGCAAGCCUGAUGCAGCCAUGCCGCGUGUAUGAAGAAGGUCUUCGGGUUGUAAAGCACUUUCAGUGGGGAGGCGUUACCCGCAGAAGAAGCACCGGCUAACUCCGUGCCAGCAGCCGCGGUAAUAC
rnacentral:rRNA from 1 species